CGGCAACAGCUCAAAUUUGAAAUCUGGCCCUCUCAGGGUCCGAGUUGUAAUUUGGAGAGGAUGCUUCGGGUGUGGCCCCGGUCUAAGUUCCUUGGAACAGGACGUCACAGAGGGUGAGAAUCCCGUCUUUGACACGGACUACCAAUGCUUUGUGAUACGCUCUCGAA
rnacentral:rRNA from 1 species